rnacentral:rRNA from 1 species
UACGUAGGGUGCAAGCGUUAAUCGGAAUUACUGGGCGUAAAGCGUGCGCAGGCGGUGAUGUAAGACAGAUGUGAAAUCCCCGGGCUCCAACCUGGGAACUGCAUUUGUGACUGCAUCGCUGGAGUGCGGCAGAGGGGAUGGAAUUCCGCGUGUAGCAGUGAAAUGCGUAGAUAUGCGGAGGAACACCGAUGGCGGAAGGCAAUCCCCUGGGCCUGCACUGACGCUCAUGCACGAAAGCGUGGGGAGCAAACAG